ensembl:lncRNA GUSBP1 GUSB pseudogene 1
AGCAUUUGCCGCGAGUUAUUGGCAAGUUCCCCUGCAGUUUGGGCUGUCUCUGUGGCUGGUUCUGCGGCGUGCGGCCAGCCAUGGAGCGCUCUGGGCCCAGCGAAGUGACAGGCUCAGACGCAUCGGGACCGGACCCGCAGCUUGCGGUCACCAUGGGCUUCACGGGGUUCGGUAAAAAAGCUCGCACAUUUGACUUGGAAGCAAUGUUUGAACAAACUCGAAGAACAGCUGUGGAAAGAAGUUGCAAAACACUGGGCCACCAGGAACACACCUGUAGCCCAGCAAAGUUGAGGCCAUCAACUGGCUCAUCACAACAAGGAAGGCUGUGCACCACUGGGACCCAGCAGCAGCUCAGCAGCAGCAGUGAAAGGGCCUUGGGAAAGACUCGGAGGGUUUGGCUUAUACAAGGCCAGAUUACAGAGGGGUAUUGAUUUGCCUUGCCCCCGCCCCCACCAUCACAGUGUGUCCCUGUCCAGUGUUGGUGCUGUGUGGCAUUGGCUUGUGUCCAUAGGAGUCCAUCAAGGCAGAGCGGCAGAGUGGGAAGGCAGGUCAGCUUCCAGCUCUUCCAGGCUGCAUGUCCCACUCAAUAUCCUUUCAACCCAAUGGAAAUGGAUUGAAAGAGUGAAAGUCACUGGUCUCAAAGAAUCUACGGAAUUUAGCAUUUUGAAAAUCACAUAGCAAUUUUGGGUAGGUAUUCACCUGCACUAAAAAACCAGGCAAACAUCCGACUCCCAGGAUAAAGUGACUGAGAGCAGUAGAAGACUUGUUGAGCCUUAAGGAAUAAGAGGAAAAUUACGUUAUGAAGUGCAGGAACAGCACAGACCCAGACGAGGGGACGCAGCCCGGAGCCAGUAACCCGGCGCCACCUCCUCCCCAGGGCGCAGCGCUGGCUGAUCCCCAGAUACCGUGAUCACACGUCCCGGGUCCUGAGAGCGCCUCAUAGGUAGACAGUUCUUUGGGACUUCUGGGAUGCAGCACUUGAAGAGAGGUUUACCUAAACUUUCCUCCUGGGAGCCUGUGAUCAUUUGAAAGUAACAGAAGAAAGUUGUCAGGCUGAGGAAAGUUUCAACAGGCACUUGGUGAGAAUGGGAAGCAUCCAUUCAUUGUGAAAUCGCGGGGACAGAGGAGGAAUUCACGGGAUCAGAGCACUGAGAAACUCCAGAGGCUUCUGGUUCACCGCCCUGAUUCCACAGAUGUGGGUCAGAGGCAGAGAUGGAAGUUGGAAUGGACAAGCCUGCCCUCUCCUUGGCUCUCCAUGGCUCUGUCCUCAGGCUGUUUCUGCAAUUUGACAUGAGGCCUGGCCCCAGGGAAACCAGUGGGGCCUCAUCUCCUCCCUGUGCUGCUCUGAGGUGGAGCCUUCUCAGGGUCAGUCCAGCUCUGGAGCCCCUCUCCAGCUCGGUCACCAAAGCUGUCUGGUCCCAGGGCGGUGCUGAGUGACAGGCAUGCCAGCCAAUCCAAUCGGCAAUUUCAUAUCCAAUGCAUGUGACUGAUAAAGAGAUAACGCCCUGUCUCCAAGACACAGGCUUUACAUAAACAGCUUUAAUGACUUCUUCACUUAGAGACAAGACUCCUUAGUGGUGGAACCUCAGGCAUCCGUGCAGGACGUAAGAAAGCUGCCGUAUAUACAUGAACUGAGAAGUGUGUAGAAGAAUAAAUACUGUAAUAGGUAAUAAAAUGUAUGUAUUUUUAUUUAUGUGCUACUUUGUCUUUCUCCCUCUCUGUGUAUAUACACAUACAUACAAAAAUGUAUUCAUUCUAUGGAAAACAUGAAAGAUGUAAUAUUCUUUACAUAUGAAAUUUUAAUUAAUGUAUUUUUUCUGAUCAUAUGAACACCACAAAUAUAAUUUUAUAAUUUUUUUACCUAACAAUAACUCUUAAACAUGAAUAUACAUGGACAAUAUCAUAGUUUUUUUUUUAAUCAUAAUUAAAAUGGUUGUGAAAC